AAGACUUAAAUAGAACAUUAUGCAAUUCAUUUUUAGCUCGACUAUUCGAAGAAUAUGAGAGCUAUUGUAGUCGCCCCGGCGUCGGCGUCGGCGUCAGCGUCCGCGUCGGCGUCUGCGUUGGUUAAAGUUUUUUGUAAAGUCAAAUAUCUCAAUUAUUACUCGAGAUAUUCAAUUGAAACUUACAAUACUUAUUUAUAGUAACAAGGUACAUAAGAUUGACAAGUUGGAUAACUCUGCCUACAAUAUUGACAGAAUUAUGCCCCUUUUUAACUUAGAAAAUUUUGGUUAAAGUUUUUUGUAAAGUCAAAUAUCUCAAUUAUUGCUUGAGAUAUUCAAUUGAAACUUACAAUACUUAUUUAUAGUAACAAGGUACAUCAGAUUGACAAGUUGGAUAACUCUGCCUACAAUAUUGACAGAAUUAUGCCCCUUUUUAACUUAGAAAAUUUUGGUUAAAGUUUUUUGUAAAGUCAAAUAUCUCUAUUAUUGCUUGAGAUAUUCAAUUGAAACUUACAAUACUUAUUUAUAGUAACAAGGUACAUCAGAUUGACAAGUUGGAUAACUCUGUCUACAAUAUUGACAAAAUUAUGCCCCUUUGGAACUUAGAAUUUUGGUUAAAGUUUUUUUGUAAAGUCAAAUAUCUCAAUUAUUGCUUGAGAUAUUCAAUUGAAAUUUAAAAUACUUUUUUAUAGUAACAAUGUUCAUCAGUUUGCAAAAUUGCAUUACUCUGCCUGCAAUAUUUGCAGAAUUAUUUGCCCCUUUGAAACUUAGAAAUUUGGUUAAAGGUUAAAGGUUUUCAAAGAUAUUUACUUGAAACUUUACACAUGCACUUAGGUUCAUAAUUGGAAGGUCAUAAUUGUAUGUCACUGACCAAGUUCCAUAACUCUAUCUUGCAUUAAGGCUGAUUCAUAUCCCCUUUUCUACUUAGUCUCUUGGUUAAUGUUUACAUGCAAGUUUUACAUAUCUCAAUAACUUUUAAAGAUAUUUAUUUAAAACUUCACAUAUGAUUUAGGGUCAUAAUUGUAGGUCACUGACAAAGAUCCAUAAUUCUAUCUUGCAUUUAGGCGGAUUUUUCUCCCCUUCUUUCAACUUAGAAAUUCAUGGUAAAGUUUUGCUUGUAAGCUGUUAUAUCAACAACUACUGAAGGGUUUGUGCCUUUUUUGGGACAAUUUUAUGCAUUCAUGAUAAUAAAGCAGUGAUUUACUUGAUAAAACAUCUUAAUAACAAGCCUUUGUACCUUUUCUGUCAAAUUUAUGUAUUCAUAGGUAAUUAAUAUUAUUAUACUCAAUAAAACACCCUUGUGACAUUUCCUUCCGAAUAGUCAAGCCAAUACUGUAUAAUUAGACCCUCUCUAAGGCCUAUAACAUGAAUUUAUAAAAAAAAAUUAGCCCUUUUGUGAACUUAAAAAAUUUAACAGUAUCAAAGCUCUUUUACUAUCAAGCACUUAGAAUAGUCGAGCAUGCUGUCCUACCGACAGCUCUUGUUAUUUAAAAGAUUGUUAUAAAUAUAAAUGGCCUGUUGAUUAAAAAUUGCCAAUUGUUGAUUAAAAAUUGCCAAUAAAUUGAAUAAUAAGUAUUCCUUUUACAGGUGAUACCGCAGAAAUAUUAUGGAAGCUAUCAACAGGAGCAUGCUCUAGCAUAGAUUUGGUCAAAACUUCUGAAGAUGAACAAUUGGAUGACGACUGCGGUGAUGUUCGGCCUUUGAUUCAGUCUGGAAAAGACAAACAUCAAGUGAAAUGGUCAGAUAGUGAUACAGCCUUACUCAGGAGACAUUUUUCAAGUUGUGUUUACAGUAAUGCCAAAGACAACAAAGGACGCUUACCAAGUGAGUACUUAUCUUGUUAUUAUUUUAUAAUAAUAUGAAAUUACAGCUUAAUUUUUAUGCUCCCCGAAAAAAUUUCGGGGGAGCGUAUAGUCGCCGCCUUGUCCGUCCGUCCGUCCGUCCCCUUUUCUUGUCCGGGACAUAACUUUGAAACAACAAGAGGUAUCAACAUGAAACUUUGUAGGUAGAUAGAUCUCAUUGAGUAGGUGUGCAGUGCACAAGAACCGUAACUCUGCCUUGCCUAAUUUUUGAAUUAUCCCCCUUUGUUUAUUUUACACUUUGAACUUUGUCCGGGACAUAACUCUAAAA